UUUCCGUAGGUGAACCUGCGGAAGGAUCAUUAUUGUAUAUCCGAGGUGCGAGGGCUGUCGCUGACCCGAAAGGUCGUGCACGCCCGAGUGCCCUCACACACAUCCAUCUCACCCCUAUGUGCACCACCGCGUGGGUCCCCCUUUGGCUUGUUCGGAGGGGGGCUUACGUUUUCACACAAACUUUGUAUGCAGUGUAGAAUGUAUUUUUUGUUUUUGCGAUCACGCAAUCAAUACAACUUUCAACAACGGAUCUCUUGGCUCGCGCAUCGAUGAAGAGCGCAGC
rnacentral:misc_RNA from 1 species